rnacentral:rRNA from 1 species
CUGCGAGUGGCGAACGGGUGAGUAAUGCAUCGGAACGUACCCAGUAGUGGGGGAUAACUUACCGAAAGGUAAGCUAAUACCGCAUACGCACUGAGGUGGAAAGCAGGGGACCGCAAGGCCUUGCGCUAUUGGAGCGGCCGAUGUCGGAUUAGCUAGUUGGUGGGGUAAAGGCCUACCAAGGCGACGAUCCGUAGCGGGUCUGAGAGGAUGAUCCGCCACACUGGAACUGAGACACGGUCCAGACUCCUACGGGAGGCAGCAGUGGGGAAUUUUGGACAAUGGGCGCAAGCCUGAUCCAGCCAUGCCGCGUGAGUGAAGAAGGCCUUCGGGUUGUAAAGCUCUUUCGGCCGGGAAGAAAUCGGUGAGGCUAAUAUCCUCACUGGAUGACGGUACCGGAAUAAGAAGCACCGGCUAACUACGUGCCAGCAGCCGCGGUAAUACGUAGGGUGCGAGCGUUAAUCGGAAUUACUGGGCGUAAAGCGUGCGCAGGCGGUUGUGUAAGACAGGCGUGAAAUCCCCGGGCUCAACCUGGGAACUGCGCUUGUGACUGCACGGCUAGAGUACGGCAGAGGGGGGUGGAAUUCCUGGUGUAGCAGUGAAAUGCGUAGAGAUCAGGAGGAACACCGAUGGCGAAGGCAGCCCCCUGGGCCUGUACUGACGCUCAUGCACGAAAGCGUGGGGAGCAAACAGGAUUAGAUACCCUGGUAGUCCACGCUGUAAACGAUGGACGUUAGGUGUUGGGGGAACCGACCCCCUCAGUGCCGAAGCUAACGCGUUAAACGUCCCGCCUGGGGAGUACG